AUGGCGGGCCGGCGGGCCGGGGCCGGGACCGGGGUCCGGACGCUGCUGGCGCUGCUGGCGCUGCGGGCGCUCGGCGCCGCGGCGCACCCACAGUGCCUGGACUUCAGGCCGCCCUUCCGGCCGCCGCAGCCGCUGCGCUUCUGCGCGCAGUACUCGGCCUUCGGCUGCUGCGCUCCCGAGCACGACGCGGCGCUGGCCCGGCGCUUCGGGGCCCUGGCGGCGCGCGUGGACGCCGCGAUUUGGGCCGAGUGCGCCGGCUACGCGCUUGACCUGCUGUGCCAGGAAUGCUCGCCAUAUGCGGCCCACCUCUACGACGCGGAGGAUCCAUCCACACCCCUGAGGACCGUGCCCGGGCUCUGCGAGGACUACUGCCUGGACCUGUGGCAGUCGUGCCGGGUCCUCUUCCGCCACCUGUCGCCCGACCGCGAGCUCUGGACGCUGGAGGGCAACCGCGCCAAGUUCUGCCGCUACCUGUCCCUGGACGACACGGACUACUGCUUCCCGCGCCUGCUGGUCAACGAGAACCUCAACUCCAACCUGGGCCGUGUGGUGGCCGACGCCAUGGGCUGCCUGCAGCUGUGCCUGGAGGAGGUGGCCAAUGGGCUGCGCAACCCCGUGGCCAUGGUCCACGCCCGGGAUGGCUCCCACCGCUUCUUCGUGGCCGAGCAGCUGGGGCUGGUGUGGGUCUACCUGCCCGACCGCUCGCGGCUGGAGAAGCCCUUCCUGAACAUCAGCCGGGCCGUGCUCACCUCGCCCUGGGAGGGUGAUGAGCGGGGCUUCCUGGGCCUCGCCUUCCACCCUGGCUUCCGGCACAAUGGCAAGCUCUACGUCUACUACUCAGUGGGUGUGGGCUUCCACGAGUGGAUACGCAUCAGCGAGUUCAGGGUCUCAGCGGAGGAUGUGAACGCUGUGGACCACGACUCGGAGAGGAUCAUCCUGGAGAUCGAAGAACCAGCCUCGAACCAUAAUGGGGGCCAGCUGCUCUUUGGGGAUGAUGGGUACCUCUACAUCUUUACUGGAGAUGGCGGGAUGGCUGGAGACCCCUUUGGAAAGUUUGGAAAUGCUCAAAACAAGUCGGCGCUGCUGGGCAAGGUGCUGCGCAUCGACGUGAACCGCAACGAGCGCGGCCCCCUCUACCGCAUCCCGUCCGACAACCCGUUCGUGGGCGACCCCGCCGCGCGGCCAGAGGUCUACGCCCUCGGGGUGCGCAACAUGUGGCGCUGCUCCUUCGACCGCGGCGACCCGGCGUCGGGCGCGGGCCGCGGGCGCCUCUUCUGUGGCGACGUGGGCCAGAACAAGUUCGAGGAGGUGGACCUGGUGGAGCGCGGCCGCAACUACGGCUGGCGCGCCCGCGAGGGCUUCGAGUGCUACGACCGCAAGCUGUGCGCCAACACCUCCCUCGAUGAUGUGCUGCCGAUUUUCGCCUACCCGCACAAACUGGGCAAGUCGGUCACUGGGGGCUACGUGUACCGGGGCUGCGAGUACCCGAACCUGAACGGCCUCUACAUUUUCGGAGACUUCAUGAGCGGGCGCCUGAUGUCCCUCCGAGAGAACCUGGGGACAGGCCAGUGGCGGUACAACGAGAUCUGCAUGGGCCGUGGCCAGACCUGUGCGUUCCCGGGCCUCAUCAACAACUACUAUCCACACAUCAUCUCCUUCGCGGAGGACGAGGCCGGGGAGCUGUACUUCAUGUCAACGGGCGUGCCGAGUGCCACAGUAGCACGUGGGGUUGUCUACAAAGUGAUCGACCCCUCCAGACGGGCACCACCCGGCAAGUGUCAGAUCCGAGCCGCCCACGUGAAGGUCCGGGGCCGCCUCAUCCACUUCGUGCCCAAAGAAAAGUUCAUCCGGAGGACGGAGAGCACCCCGCGGCCCACGGCGCCCGCGCCCACCAAGGCUCCCCGCCGCAGCCGCCCCACGGCCGCUCCACUCGCGCCCACUCCGCGGCCGGCACGACCCACCCCGCGGCCGGCACGACCCACCACGAGGCCCGGGCGCCGUCGGGGCGGCGGGCGGCGGCGGGGACGGUUGGGCACCGCGGUCCCCGAGCCCUCGAACGGCGCCGUGCGCCUGGUGCGGCCCGCGGGCCUGAGUCCAGGCCGCGGGCGUGUGGAGGUGUUCGCGGGCGGACGCUGGGGCACCGUGUGCGAUGACGCCUGGGACACCAAGGGCGCCGCCGUCGUGUGCCGCCAGCUGGGCUUCGCGUACGCCGUGCGGGCCGCCAAGCGUGCCGAGUUCGGCGAGGGUCACACGCUGCCCAUCCUGCUGGACGACGUGCGCUGCACAGGCAGUGAACGCAACCUGCUGGAGUGCGCGCAUGCCGGCCUGGGUUCCCACAACUGCGACCACCAGGAGGAUGCCGGCGUCGUGUGCAGCCGCGAGGACCCCAAUCUGUAGGCGAGCAUCGUCUGUCUGUCUGGCCGGCCGGGCUGUCCAUCGUGCAUCCGGAGCCCGUCCACCCUGUGCGCGCCUGGCACCCCUGACGCUGCGGACAAAAAAAUGUUGCCUGCCAUCCUGGUGAACGAUGAAUGUUGCCCGCCAUCAAGCCAUCAGCCACCGCAGCCACCUGCUAUGGUGCGCCCUGAGGGGAAUUCAGGAUGGAGAAAAACUGGAUACUGGCCCUGAUAGUUAAGAUGCAUGUCUAAGGAAUAAUUUCAAUGAGCCCAGACUCUUACAUCUUCAGCACUAAAAUCAUUAACUUGAGAUGUCUGGUUUUUGUGAUUAGCAGUAAUCUUUUGAUGUUUGACUACAUGUUUUUUAUUUUCAGCAAAAACUCCUAUAUAUGUAUCCUGGCUCCACCCUGACCUCUUUGGAACAGUUCCCGAGCUAUCUGAGAGGCUGUCUCCCAGGCUAUAGUCCUCAGCAAUGUCCCCAAAUAAAA